UCAGUAUUAACUCCUGGCAGAGAGUCCGUCUGCUGCUGAAUAUCUGGCGGCUGUCAGACGCUCGGCUCUGCUGCUGUCACCUCCGCUCUGUACAGGAAACUAUCAGUGACAGCUGCCACGCUGCUCCUCCUCCUCCUCCUUCAUCCUCCUUCAUCCUGCAGCUGACACCGUCCUGAACAUCCUCCUCACCCGCCAAGACGACGCCGGUGCACCGAGCUCACACGCAGAAGGAAGGUUUUCUCUUCUUGGAGGUGUAAACGGCGAAAAGCUGCAGAUUCAGGCGAGAUUUUUCACGUCAGGCUUCAGGGUGGAGGUGUCACCGCCGACGGAAAACUAGCUCUGCUGUCAGCUGCUGCCAAACGUCUCCCAUCAGAGGGUGAGGAUGGGGGGAAGAUGGAGCAUCUUCUUUGCAGACUCACCAUGAAUCCAGCUUUUUAUCCUCAGAGUGUUUCUGCAGCUUUAUUCCAACGCAGAUGUUUGUAGAAUAAACCCAGAGAACGGAGGGAUUUAAACCGAGAGCAGUACAGAGUUAAACUCCUGACUGACAGCAGCUCGUAGGAGGAAUAAACCAGGAGGAAAGAAGAGGAAACGACACUCGGAGGGCUUUGACUUUUCCACGAGUUCUCGGUUCUAAAGUGAACUUUGUGUUUCUCUAAAUGAGCCUCUGUGGCCUUUCAGAGCUCCAUAAUGUAUUUUAAUGUAUGUAAACCGAAUCAGUUGGCUCCAUCAGCAUAAAAAGGAACUUCUGGGCGGCUUUUCCCCUCCGCUGCGUCGCUGACACGAGGCCCGGCUGAUGGCUCUGAUUUAAAAUAUGGACUCUGGUCCGUCCAGGUCGACGGGCUCAUUUAAAACGAGGACGGCCGAUCCCAGGAAUAAAUGGAGUGACUCGUCAGAAGAGAGACACAAAAUGACGAAAACGAGGCGGAAUGAGAAAAAUGAGACAGAAAAUGAAAAAAACGAGACAAAAUGAUUAAAACAAAACACAAAAUGAUUAAAACGAGACAGAAAAUGAAAAAAACAAGACAGAAAAUAAAGAAAAUGUGAUGAAAUGACAAAAACGAGACAACACGGCGAAAAUGAGACACAAAAUGACAAAAAUGAGACAAAAUGACAAAAACGAAACAAAACGAUUAAAACGAGACACAAAACGAUUAAAACAAGACACAAAAUGAUUAAAACGAGACACAAAAUGAAAAAAACGAGGCAGAAAAUAAAUAAAAUGAGACACAAAAUGACAAAAAUGAGACAAAAUGACAAAAACGAAACAAAACAAUUAAAACGAGACACAAAACGAUUAAAACUAAACACAAAACGAUUAAAACAAGACACAAAAUGACGAAGAUGAGACGAAAUGUCAAAAAUGACACAAAAUGAUUAAAACGAGACAGAAAAUGAGACGAAAUGACAAAAACGAGACACAAAAUCAUUAAAAAGAGACACAAAACGACGAAAAUGAGGCGGAAUGACAAAAAUUAGACAAGAAAUGACAAAAAUGAGACACAAAAUGACAAAAAAUGAGACAGAAAAUGAAGAAAAUGAGACAAAAUGACAAAAACGAGACACAACAUGGCGAAAAUAAGACACAAAAUGACAAAAAUGGGACAAAAUGACAAAAAAACUGGAUAAAAAAACUGGACAAAAAAACGGGACAGAAAACGACGAAAACAAGACACAAAAUGACAAAAAUGAGAAAAAAUGACAAAAACGAGACACAAAAUGAUAAAAAUGAGACACAAAACAACAAAAAUAAGACACAAAAUGACAAAAAUGACACAAAACAACAAAAAGGACAGACAAAACAACAAAAAUGAGAGGAAACGACUGAAAUGAGACAAAAAAUGACAAAAACAAGCCACAGAGCGAUAAAAAAAUGAUAAAAAAUUGAGACAUAAAAUGGCAAAAAUAGAUAGAAACGACAGAAAAUGACAAAAAUGGGACAUAAAAUGAAGAAAAAGAAACACAUAACGACAAAAAUAAGACCCAAAAUGUCACAGAGGUGGCUGGGUGGGGCCGAUGAGGAAGACACGAGGCCACGCUGACGGCUUUGGAGGUAAAAUAUGGAGUGUGGUCCGUCUCCGUCCAGGUCGAGCGGCUCAUUUAAAACUUCCUGACUCUGACGGGCUGACGGCUGAUCCAGGAAUAAAUGGAGCGACUCGUCAAACUCGUCAAACUCCGACCGACUGAAGCCCCGACGACGCCGGCUCUGGCUGCAGGCCGCCGAGCUCCGAGAGCAGGAAGGGAGGACCAAAUGGGUUUUUGAAUAUGGAGUGAGUCCUUUUUAAAGCCAAUUCCUCCUGGUGCUGCCCCAGAAAUACAGAUCUGACACGUCGAAGAGGGAAAAAGAAAGAAAUCAAGGGCAAUCCAAUCACUGUCACAGAGACGGCUGGGUGGGGCCGAGCGGGAAGAGCUUCGUUCUAGGACUCCUGUUGACACAAACUAGAGCUGAAACGACACGAAGAGGACAGAAUACGACAAAAAUUAGAUGAAAAGACGACAAAAAUGAGACAAAGUGACAGAAAAGAAACAAAACUGCUCCAUAGAGACACAAAACUAUGAAAACAAAACACAAACAUGAGACACAAAACGACAAAAAUUAGACACAAAAUAAUAAAAACCAGACACAAAAUGACAAAAAUGAGACAGAAAACAAUAAAAAUGAGACACAGUGUGACCUGUGUUGGGGCUUGGUUAGUGAUGUUGGUCUGUUAAAGAAAGGCGAUGGAUGAACUCUGUGAUGGAGGCGGCUGCAGAGCGUCCAUGGAAACAUCCAUAUAUAUGCAUUUACAGGAACUUUAUGGAGACAUGGUGCUUCAUUGUUCAGUUUUUCCCGGUAGAUAAUAGUGCAUUUGCCUCUGUUUCGGUCCUUUUUUAACGAAAACGAUCUACUCCACCAGACGAUGCUGUUCGGUUGUUUACGAUUGCAGGCCACAAACAUGGUGGGCGCAUCCCAUAAUCCAUCGCGGUAUGACGUCCAUUCCCGAACUCUAUCGGACUGUGGCUUCAGUUAGCUAACGCAGCUAGCCACAUAGCCUAUCCUGGAUGGUUUCCGACCUGGAGACGGCGAGAGGGAGACCAGAUAGCGCUCUGAGUGACCGGAAAAGCUCAGAGUUCCUCUGGCAACGUGGGAAAUAAGAGGAGAUCUGUGUCGUAGAUCCAUCUGCUAAAGGGCUGAGGCUAAAGGACCGGCAGGAGUCACCGGACGUUGACAGUUCGCUGGACAAAGGUACCACUGUUAUAGGAGUGUUUCACUGACGUCACACAUCCGGGUCAGUAAGUAGCUCAGCGCCAUGGUGAGUGGCAAACUUUGAUGAGUCCGUUUGUUGGCUAUGGCUGCCACUCAGCUAAAAAAGUAUUUUGACACACUUGAUAGCACUUCAAAAGACCGACAUCAGAGGAAGUUGGAGUUAAUUGAGUAAGUUUCAGCACUCAUAAUAUGAGGAAGUAGCACUUCAGACACAGAUUUUUUUGUCGAGAUUUUGAACACAGUUUGGUGUAGAAUUCGUCCGAAAACAGCAUUAAUUCAGGUCGCCGAUUUAACUAACAAUGAACCUAAUGAUUGUUUUCUAUUAAUCAGCGUAUCAUUGGUCUGUCUAAAUUAAAUUAACUGGAAUAAACAGUGGAGUCUGGCUAUGAUCACGCUAAUGUGAGCUAACCCCCCAGUCCUGUUGGGGCAACGCGAAUCCUCGCUUUGAGAAGCAGCUAUUUUGAAAGGAUCUUUAGCAAAUAAUAACGGUUAAAACACUUAAUUUCCACAAUUGUCUAAGUUAUACAUUUGUUAUCUUUCAUUCGGCAUACAUUAAAACUCCCGAACUGUCUGUUUUUGUUUUCAAUAAAAUAAUCAAAUUUGAGUAAGACUUUUGGCUGUUUCUGUUUUCAAAGCAAUUCAUGCCCUAAAAGUUUAUUUUACCACAAUAAAGUGUAUUUAUGGAAGACGAACUGAAUGAUAGAAUACAAAGCAAAAGUGAAAAUGAGAAUUGCUUAAUAAUACGGGUUAAAAAACAGACACUAAUUGCCAAGUGUGGUGCCUCAGCCGGCUGAGUUUCACUUCAAACUACUUAUCUUGCUCGCUGACUCCUGACCACAACAAUUUCAACACUCGCCACCCAAUAUGGCGGAGCAGCUAAUGUGACGUCAUCUGAAACACUCCUACUGCUUUGUUUUGCUCGUUAGUGAGUGAAGGAUUGUCGUGGGGUUGUUUUGGUUGAAUUGCCGGCUUAGAGACUAAUUAAUGGUGUGCACAUCAUAGGUAAAGGGACAUUUCAAAGAACAUAAAGACUCUUAACCUGAUUCUUUAUUAUUAUUAUUAUGAAGUUGGCUGACUGUCAGACUGACUUGUGACUGUGUUUGUUGUUGAUGCACAUUUCCUACACAUCUGGGGUUUAAUUAAAGUGGAUUGUUUAGUUUGA